ACAUAUUAUGGUGAUGGAGCUCGCCGUUAACUAUUGCAUUCUUGCAAUUGAUGGCUCCUAUUUGGGU
rnacentral:ncRNA from 2 species